UUAAGUGCUGUCUCCUCUACUCCUGGAUUCUGACUAAACGUCAUUCUAUCUUUGUCGGCUGAAUAGACCCUGCCUGGCUGGGGUGGGACCUCAGGAAAUGUUGCUGAACAAAUACAUCUGGUGGGAAAAGCCAAGAUGAGAUUAAGUCUCCUGAAGGUCCAAGGCUCUCUUCAUAGGGUUGCUGAGGGCCUCCCCUGAUAAUGUGAAAAUAACUACACUGGAGUUCAAGACAGUACAGUAGGAAGAUCCUGAACUCACGUCCUCCCAUAGACACACUGAGUCUACAGCUACAUAUGGAACAAUUUCCUCUUUAAAAAAACCUAAAGAGGGGCUGAGUGAAGACUACACAUCAGGCAAAAGAGAAGGAAACCACAAGGUGGGUAGGAGAGGCUGGGAUACAAUCUCAUCAUAAACCCCAUGCAGGGAGGGACCUUGGAACCUGGAGCUUCUCCCUGAAGAGCAAGGGGCUUGCACCCACAUCAGGCAUCUCAACUUCUGGGUCAUACACUUGAGAUGACCCUCCAAAACUUCUGGUUUUGAAAACCAACAAGGCUCAUGUCCCAGGACCCACAACACUCUAGCAAUCUGAGAAGCCACUCUUAAAGGGCUCACAUGUUCAGGUUCACACACCCCAGGGCCCAGCUCAGAGGCAGCUGAUCACACCAGACUUAAAAUAAAGGCAGCUGACCUGCUUACACUCAAGUGUCAGCCUGAGGGCAGGCGUCUAGUUCCCCCCACACACCUCGAAGCCGGCUGUAACACUCUCGAGGUGUGGGGACCGGCAGGCGCACCUCUGCACUCCCCCGUGCCAUUCUCCCGAGCACCAGUGUCUCCUGGUGGGAAGCUUUUGCACAUGUCUGGUGCCCCAAUUUUUGUGGCUGCUGCUAAGCAGUGCCUCUUGAUUGCCUGCCUCUGGAGGCUGGGGGAGUUUGCAUUCCUGGCCCCAUAGGACUGUAAUAAUUGGUGUCACCCAGAAAGGAGCUCAUACCCGUCUGGCACCCCGAUUUUUGCUACUGCUGCCAGGGGACACCUCUACAUCGCCUGGCUCUGGUGGUCAGUGGGGUUUAUGUCUGUGGUUCCCACAGGACUGUAACCAACAGAGAAAGAGUUCUUAAAGGGCUACCAGAAAAGAGCUUAUACACUCAUCUAGUGCCCUAAUUUCUGUGGCUGCCACUCGGGGAACACUUCCAGAUCACCUGGCUCUGGUGGCCAGAGGGGCUUAUGCCUAAGGUUCCACAGCACUGUAUCCCUCUAAUUACUUUUAAAAGCUGAUGCCUGAGGGCCUGGCUUCCAGGUGGCCUGAAUCUAGAUGCUGAGUUCCUCCCCUUUGGGACACUUACAGGACUUGGCACAUCCUCAACUACUAAGAGCUGUUAAAAACAUAACAGGGUACUUGGAUAAGCACAGAGGUUUGGGACAACCAGGAGCUGAGGCAAAAGGAUGAACAACAGGGCUCACCUUCUACAUGAGGCCACUCCUUCAGGGCUGGGAGAGGUGACUGUUCCAUCUACUGUUUAGAGUCAAGCAAACUGAAGAAACAGAGGAACAUGUUCCAAAUGAACGAACAAGAUAUAACCUCAGGAAAAAACCACAACAAAGCAGAGAUAAGGAAUGUACCUGAUAGAGUUCAGAGUAGUGGUCAUAAAGAUGUUCACCAAAUUGAGUAGGAGAACAGAUGAACACAGGGAGAACUUCAACAAAGACAUGGAAAAUAAAGAAAGUACCAAACAGAAGUCACAGAGCUAAAGAAUACAAUAACUGAACUGGAAAAAAAAAAGCUAUAGAGGUUAAACAGCAGACUAGAUAAAGCAGAAGUAAGAAUCAGUCAACUAGAAGACAAAGCACAAAACUCAACCAAUCAGAGCAGCAAAAAGAAAAAAGAAUG